AUGUCUUUUAAAAAUCAUAGAAUCAAAGAUCAAGUCUAACUCCCUCGGUGUUUCUUCAUAGGAGAGGUGCUCCAGCCCUCUGAUCAUCCCUAUGACCUUCCUUUCGACCCACUCCAGGAGCUUCACAUCAUUCCUGUACUGGGGGCCCCAGAUCUGGACUCAGUACUCCAGAUGGGACCUCACGAGGGCAGAGUAGUGAGGUUUGGCGGAGAUUACUGAUGAAGAGUUUGAGCUGCUACUUGACAGAAUCCCCCUUGAUGAAGAUGGAAAUGUCAGAUACCCCCAGUUCAUGGACAGGUUUGAUUCCUGAUAUUAACAGGAAAAGAGCUGAAAGAUUUGCCUUGAGUGGAAGAAAAAGUUUCUGAGCCUAAAGGAAUAGAAUCAGUGAGGAUGAUAUGGAAACCUUUGCCCACAGUCAUAGAUGGACAAUGCAGAAUUUAAUAGUUCCAUAGGUGGCUGCAGCCUAUGCCAGAUUUCAGACUGUGACAAUAGGAAGGAGUGACAGAGAUGAAGGGUGAAUGUCAACCUUAAGUGUCAUAUUUGAAGAGCUAAGGGGAGAGGACAUCUACAAGGUAUUGAAUGAAUAACAAGGUAUUGAGUGAAGAGGGCCUUGUGGAAUCGUCCUAAUCCGGGAAGAGCCACUGCCUCCCUGUGUGAUCUGACAGAGUGACAUAUCACUUGACCUCGGUCGCGGCAGCUGUACGACGAGGUGGAAAAGGCGGCUGACGGACAACCAGGGGAUGCUUUGCAGCGCAGCUUCCUCGGGGUAAACCACGAGCAAACUCACGGCUCGGCUUCUUACUCAUCCGUGAGUUUUAGAGCAAAUUCAGGUUUUGCAAAGUUUCUCUUGGAUUUUUUUAGUUAUCAUUAUACAGUGGAAGCCGGCUGUUGCAGGCGGGACGAGGGGCCGCGCUCCCCGCCGUAGCGCCGCCGGGACUGCAGGGGGCGCGGCGGCUCCGCUGCAGCCGCACGGUGCCCUAUGGGCUGCAGUAUUUAGAACCUCGCCCUUAGGCGCUUCAUUAGAUGCUCAGUGAUUGUUAGCCAGGAAUUCAGGAUUCAUCCUUCCUUCUACACGAGGUAUUUAUGAUGUUUUAAUAUUUGAAGAGCAACUCGUGGUCCUGAAAUGUAAUAUUUUUUAGGACUAAAUGUGAGUAAGGCUUCAAGGAAUAAAUGUGCUGCUGGUUGAAGAUGCUGUAGUAGUUCUGACCCUCCAGAUUUUGAAGCUGGGGAUUAAGUUGGUGUUUCACUAAGUAGCACUUGCACAUUUUGAGUGGUAAGGAAAAUACAAAGUACAUCUGAAAAUGCAUGAUAACACAAAAUCACUGCAGC